rnacentral:rRNA from 1 species
GCUCGAGUGGCGAACGGGUGAGUAACACGUGAGUAACCUGCCCUUGACUUUGGGAUAACUUCAGGAAACUGGGGCUAAUACCGGAUAGGAGCUCCUGCUGCAUGUGGGGGUUGGAAGUUUCGGCGGUUGGGGAUGGACUCGCGGCUUAUCAGCUUGUUGGUGGGGUAGUGGCUUACCAAGGCUUUGACGGGUAGCCGGCCUGAGAGGGUGACCGGCCACAUUGGGACUGAGAUACGGCCCAG